rnacentral:lncRNA from 1 species
UAGAGACAGAGAUCAGAGUUGCUAUGGCUAACCACUUCACUUCUGAACUCUUUCACUCCUCCAAAAAUGUUUCUGCUGGCUUGGCAUGUGAAACUACACAUUAUCUUGUGGGAAUCUGCAGAAUGUUAUUACAUUCAGGAGAAGGAUGCUGGUGCCCCAUCCACCCGACCCACAGAACCAACAACUCCAAUACCGAAAAUUGCAGCCGGUAGCAACAAGAAGAAGCGCUGCGAUGUGUAUGGACCCAAGAAGGACAGGAAGACACAGUACACAUGCAUCAAGCGCAAGAAAUACAUUUGCAACACACACACAGUAAAACUCUGCCCCUCAUGUGGUGUGUAGCCUGGCCUUAAUUUGGUUCAAUUGGGC